UGGAGAGUUUGAUCCUGGCUCAGGACGAACGCUGGCGGCGUGCCUAAUACAUGCAAGUCGAGCGGACRGAUGGGAGCUUGCUCCCUGAAGUCAGCGGCGGACGGGUGAGUAACACGUGGGCAACCUGCCUGUAAGACUGGGAUAACUCCGGGAAACCGGGGCUAAUACCGGAUAACUCUUUYCCUYACAUGAGGRAAAGCUGAAAGAUGGUUUCGGCUAUCACUUACAGAUGGGCCCGCGGCGCAUUAGCUAGUUGGUGAGGUAACGGCUCACCAAGGCCACGAUGCGUAGCCGACCUGAGAGGGUGAUCGGCCACACUGGGACUGAGACACGGCCCAGACUCCUACGGGAGGCAGCAGUAGGGAAUCUUCCGCAAUGGACGAAAGUCUGACGGAGCAACGCCGCGUGAGUGAUGAAGGUUUUCGGAUCGUAAAACUCUGUUGUCAGGGAAGAACAAGUACCGGAGUAACUGCCGGUACCUUGACGGUACCUGACCAAGAAAGCCACGGCUAACUACGUGCCAGCAGCCGCGGUA
rnacentral:rRNA from 1 species